UGAGUACGAGCUGCUACGGCAGCGAAGUGGGUGAUGUCAAGCUUCCAAGAAAAGCCCUAUACCCGUUAAGGCAUGACGGCCUGUACCCGAAACCGACACAGGUGGGGUGGUAGAGAAUACCGAGGGGCGCGAGAUAACUCUCUCUAAGGAACUCGGCAAAAUGGCCCCGUAACUUCGGGAGAAGGGGUGCCACCGCAAGGUGGUCGCAGUGAAGAGGCCCAGGCGACUGUUUACCAAAAACACAGGUCUCCGCUAAGUCGCAAGACGAUGUAUGGGGGCUGACGCCUGCCCAGUGCCGGAAGGUUAUGGAAGCUGGUCAGCGCAAGCGAAGCUAGCGACUGAAGCCCCGGUGAACGGCGGCCGUAACUAUAACGGUCCUAAGGUAGCGAAAUUCCUUGUCGGGUAAGUUCCGACCCGCACGAAAGGCGUAACGAUCUGGGCGCUGUCUCGGAGAGAGGCUCGGCGAAAUAGAAUUGUCUGUGAAGAUGCGGACUACGUGCACCCGGACAGAAAGACCCUAUGAAGCUUUACUGUAGCUUGGUAUUGUGCCCGGGCUCUGAAUGCGCAGGAUAGGUGGGAGGCUUUGAUCCAUUGCUUGUGGGUAAUGGUGAGCCACUGGUGAGAUACCACUCUUUCAGAGCUAGGGUUCUAACGGUCACCCGUUAUCCGGGGACCGGACAGUAUCAGGUGGGCAGUUUGACUGGGGCGGUCGCCUCCUAAAAGGUAACGGAGGCGCGCAAGGGUUCCCUCAGGCUGGUUGGAAAUCAGCCGACGAGUGUAAAGGCAGAAGGGAGCUUGACUGUGAGACCUACAAGUCGAACAGGGACGAAAGUCGGCCUUAGUGAUCCGACGGUUCUGAGUGGAAGGGCCGUCGCUCAACGGAUAAAAGUUACUCUAGGAUAACAGGCUGAUCUCCCCCAAGAGUUCACAUCGACGGGGAGGUUUGGCACCUCGAUGUCGGCUCAUCGCAACCUGGGGCUGAAGUCGGUCCCAAGGGUUGGGCUGUUCGCCCAUUAAAGCGGUACGCGAGCUGGGUUCAGAACGUCGUGGGACAGUUCGGUCCAUAUCCGGUGCACGCGCAGGAACAUUGAGAGGAUUUCUCCCUAGUACGAGAGGACCGGGAAGAACGCACCUCUGGUGUACCAGUUAUCGUGCCAACGGUAAACGCUGGGUAGCCAUGUGCGGAGCGGACAACCGCUGAAAGCAUCUAAGUGGGAAGCCCACCUCAAGAUGAGUGUUCCCAUGGCAUAAGCCAGUAAGGUCACGAGAAGAACACCCGUUGAUAGGCUCUACGUGGAAGCGUGGCAACACGUGAAGCGGAGGAGUACUAAUAGACCGAGGGCUUGACC
rnacentral:rRNA from 1 species